rnacentral:snoRNA from 1 species
AGCCUCGUUCCAUGAGAAGGGCACAGUUGACAUAGUGACCAGAAUUGAUAAAUGUGGCUAAAAUGAGACACAGGUUAUGCUUCCAUCACAGUAAAUUUAUUGCAAUGGUGACAGUGGGACCUGUUACUUUU